UCUCCGUUGGUGAACCAGCGGAGGGAUCAUUACUGAGUUAUUAAAACUCCAAACCCUUUGUGAACCUUACCGUCGUUGCCUCGGCGUGAGCUACGGCUACCCUGUAGUUACCCUAUAGCUACCCUGUAGUUACCCUGCAGCUACCCUAUAGUUACCCUGUAGCUACCCUGUAGCCGGCUUAUGGCCCGCCGAAGGACCGCCAAACUCUUGUUUUUUAUUACUGUUUCUCUGAAUUGUAAACCUAAAUAAGUUAAAACUUUCAACAACGGAUCUCUUGGUUCUGGCAUCGAUGAAGAACGCAGC
rnacentral:misc_RNA from 1 species